AGAGAUGUGUGAUGACGCAUAUCAAUAAGCGGAGGAAAAGAAACUAACAAGGAUUCCCUUAGUAACGGCGAGUGAAGCGGGAAGAGCUCAAAUUUGAAAUCUUCAAGGUUUUACCUUGACGAAUUGUAGUUUAAAGAAGUGUUUUCUGUUGGAGUUUUGGUAAAAGUUCUUUGGAACAGGACAUCAUAGAGGGUGAGAAUCCCGUAUUUGGUCAUUCCUCCUAGCGUUGUGAUACACUUUCAACGAGUCGGAUUGUUUGGGAAUGCAGUCCAAAAUGGGUGGUAAAUUUCAUCUAAAGCUAAAUAUUGGCGAGAGACCGAUAGCGAACAAGUACCGCGAGGGAAAGAUGAAAAGAACUUUGAAAAGAGAGUUAAACAGUACGUGAAAUUGUCAAAAGGGAAGCGUUUGACACCAGUGUUGUUUUUCCGAAAAUCAAUUACGAAUGUUUUGUUUUUGAGGAGUUAUGACUUCAUCGGCUUGCUCCUUUCCUUACGAAACUUUCUUAAUGCACUUUUCGGUUAACAAGUCAACAUCAAUUUCUUUUGUUGUAAAAGGGUACGAGGAAGGUGGCUUUCUUUUCGGAGAAAGUGUUUAUAGCCUUGUGCCUCUGCAAUCGGAGAGAUUGAGGUCUGCAGCGUAGAUCCUUCGGGGUUAGAUACAUUUGUGCUAAGUUAUAGCUUUUCAUAGACAACUUGUUGACUAUGUUUAGUCUUGUAGCUUACUCGCUUAUGCUAUUUUACCUACGCUUAGGAUGUUGAAGAUGUAGCACAUCAU
rnacentral:rRNA from 1 species